rnacentral:rRNA from 1 species
GAUGAACGCUGGCGGCGUGCCUAAUACAUGCAAGUCGAGCGAACGGACGAGAAGAUUGCUUCUCUGAUGUUAGCGGCGGACGGGUGAGUAACACGUGGAUAACCUACCUAUAAGACUGGGAUAACUUCGGGAAACCGGAGCUAAUACCGGAUGAUAUUUUGAACCGCAUGGUUCAAAAGUGAAAGACGGUCUUGCUGUCACUUAUAGAUGGAUCCGCGCUGCAUUAGCUAGUUGGUAAGGUAACGGCUUACCAAGGCAACGAUGCAUAGCCGACCUGAGAGGGGGAUCGGCCACACUGGAACUGAGACACGGUCCAGACUCCUACGGGAGGCAGCAGUAGGGAAUCUUCCGCAAUGGGCGAAAGCCUGACGGAGCAACGCCGCGUGAGUGAUGAAGGUCUUCGGAUCGUAAAACUCUGUUAUUAGGGAAGAACAUAUGUGUAAGUAACUGUGCACAUCUUGACGGUACCUAAUCAGAAAGCCACGGCUAACUACGUG